rnacentral:tRNA from 1 species
GGGUGGAUAGCUCAGUUGGAUAGAGCGCCUGCCUUACAAGCAGGAGGUCGGGGGUUCGAGCCCCUCUCUGCCCA